rnacentral:rRNA from 2 species
AGAGUUUGAUCAUGGCUCAGAUUGAACGCAGGCGGCAGGCCUAACACAUGCAAGUCGAACGGUAACAGGAAGCAGCUUGCUGCUUCGCUGACGAGUGGCGGACGGGUGAGUAAUGUCUGGGAAGCUGCCUGAUGGAGGGGGAUAACUACUGGAAACGGUAGCUAAUACCGCAUAAUGUCGCAAGACCAAAGAGGGGGACCUUCGGGCCUCUUGCCAUCGGAUGUGCCCAGAUGGGAUUAGCUUGUUGGUGGGGUAACGGCUCACCAAGGCGACGAUCCCUAGCUGGUCUGAGAGGAUGACCAGCCACACUGGAACUGAGACACGGUCCAGACUCCUACGGGAGGCAGCAGUGGGGAAUAUUGCACAAUGGGCGCAAGCCUGAUUUUUCCAUGCCGCGUGUAUGAAGAAGGCCUUCGGGUUGUAAAGUACUUUCAGCGGGGAGGAAGGGAGUAAAGUUAAUACCUUUGCUCAUUGACGUUACCCGCAGAAGAAGCACCGGCUAACUCCGUGCCAGCAGCCGCGGUAAUACGGAGGGUGCAAGCGUUAAUCGGAAUUACUGGGCGUAAAGCGCACGCAGGCGGUUUGUUAAGUCAGAUGUGAAAUCCCCGGGCUCAACCUGGGAACUGCAUCUGAUACUGGCAAGCUUGAGUCUCGUAGAGGGGGGUAGAAUUUCCAGGUGUAGCGGUGAAAUGCGUAGAGAUCUGGAGGAAUACCGGUGGCGAAGGCGGCCCCCUGGACGAAGACUGACGCUCAGGUGCGAAAGCGUGGGGAGCAAACAGGAUUAGAUACCCUGGUAGUCCACGCCGUAAACGAUGUCGACUUGGAGGUUGUGCCCUUGAGGCGUGGCUUCCGGAGCUAACGCGUUAAGUCGACCGCCUGGGGAGUACGGCCGCAAGGUUAAAACUCAAAUGAAUUGACGGGGGCCCGCACAAGCGGUGGAGCAUGUGGUUUAAUUCGAUGCAACGCGAAGAACCUUACCUGGUCUUGACAUCCACGGAAGUUUUCAGAGAUGAGAAUGUGCCUUCGGGAACCGUGAGACAGGUGCUGCAUGGCUGUCGUCAGCUCGUGUUGUGAAAUGUUGGGUUAAGUCCCGCAACGAGCGCAACCCUUAUCCUUUGUUGCCAGCGGUCCGGCCGGGAACUCAAAGGAGACUGCCAGUGAUAAACUGGAGGAAGGUGGGGAUGACGUCAAGUCAUCAUGGCCCUUACGACCAGGGCUACACACGUGCUACAAUGGCGCAUACAAAGAGAAGCGACCUCGCGAGAGCAAGCGGACCUCAUAAAGUGCGUCGUAGUCCGGAUUGGAGUCUGCAACUCGACUCCAUGAAGUCGGAAUCGCUAGUAAUCGUGGAUCAGAAUGCCACGGUGAAUACGUUCCCGGGCCUUGUUCACACCGCCCGU